GUUCCCUCUGUUUCUCCUUGUGUUACUCACUCUCUCUUUCCUUUUCUCUCCACAGGUAUCAACUUAGGCACAAUAGCACAGUUAGUUUGCUUUGAAUGGCUCUCACCUCUGGGCUGGACACAGCGUACUGUAAGUACAGGUUCCCUCUGGUUCUCCUUGUGUUACUCACUCUCUCUUUCCUUUCCUCUCCACAGGUAUCAACUUGGACACAAAGCACAGUUACUCUGCUUUGGAUGGCUUUCACCUCUGGGCUGGACACAGCGUACCGUGCUAUCUCCGGAGAUCUGAAGCACGCUCACAACAUAUACUGUACUGAACUAGGCUAGGACCAGCAGUCUCCUUGUCCUCCCGCGACGAAGUGCGUGAAGGCGGGGGUUUAUCUGACAGGACACACGGCAAUACAC
ensembl:lncRNA